rnacentral:misc_RNA from 1 species
AACGCAUAUUGCGCCCCUUGGUAUUCCGGGGGGCACACCUGUUCGAGCGCCAUUUCGACCCUCAAGCUUAGCUUGGUGUUAGGUGAGGUCCCUUUUCUGGGACCCUCCCAUAACCCGUAGGCGGUCAUCAUCCGUACUCCUCUAGCGUAGCAAGCUCACGCACUCGCUCGAGGAUGGGGUGAGAUCAUGCCUUUACAACCCUUUCAAAAGGUUUGGCCUCGAAUCAGGUGGGGAUACCCGCUGAACUUAA